AGUGAAUAGAUACCCGGGUAGUCCACGCCCUAAACGAUGCGAACUAGGUGUUGGGGAAGGAGACUUUCUUAGUACCGCAGCUAAACGCGUGAAGUUCGCCGCCUGGGGAGUACGGUCGCAAGAUUAAAACUCAAAGGAAUUGACGGGGACCCGCACAAGCGGUGGAUGAUGUGGAUUAAUUCGAUGCAACGCGAAAAACCUUACCUACCCUUGACAUGUCAGGAAUCCUGCUGAGAGGCGGGAGUGCCCGAAAGGGAACCUGAACACAGGUGCUGCAUGGCUGUCGUCAGCUCGUGUCGUGAGAUGUUGGGUUAAGUCCCGCAACGAGCGCAACCCUUGUCAUUAAUUGCCAUCAUUCAGUUGGGCACUUUAAUGAGACUGCCGGUGACAAACCGGAGGAAGGUGGGGAUGACGUCAAGUCCUCAUGGCCCUUAUGGGUAGGGCUUCACACGUCGUACAAUGGUCGGUACAGAGGGUUGCCAA
rnacentral:rRNA from 1 species